rnacentral:rRNA from 1 species
AGUGGCGGACGGGUGAGUAACGCGUGAGAAUCUGCCUUGGGGUCGGGGACAACCACUGGAAACGGUGGCUAAUACCGGAUAAGCCGAUUGGUGAAAGAUUUAUUGCCCGAAGAGGAGCUCGCGUCUGAUUAGCUAGUUGGUGAGGUAAGAGCUCACCAAGGCAGCGAUCAGUAGCUGGUCUGAGAGGACGAUCAGCCACACUGGGACUGAGACACGGCCCAGACUCCUACGGGAGGCAGCAGUGGGGAAUUUUCCGCAAUGGGCGAAAGCCUGACGGAGCAAGACCGCGUGAGGGAGGAAGGCUCUUGGGUUGUAAACCUCUUUUCUCAGGGAAGAAGCUCUGACGGUACCUGAGGAAUCAGCCUCGGCUAACUCCGUGCCAGCAGCCGCGGUAAUACGGAGGAGGCAAGCGUUAUCCGGAAUUAUUGGGCGUAAAGCGUCCGCAGGUGGCGAUUCAAGUCUGCUGUCAAAGCACGGGGCUUAACUCCGUAAAGGCAGUGGAAACUGAAUAGCUAGAGUGCCGUAGGGGUAGAGGGAAUUCCCGGUGUAGCGGUGAAAUGCGUAGAGAUCGGGAAGAACAUCGGUGGCGAAAGCGCUCUACUGGACGGCAACUGACACUCAGGGACGAAAGCUAGGGGAGCGAAUGGGAUUAGAUACCUC